rnacentral:lncRNA from 1 species
AUAUACAUAUACAUAGCACAUAUGAGGAGAUAGGGACCUGGAGGGUAGGAAAUAUGAAGGCCGCCUCUGGCAAUAGCAGGACGAAGAAAAGAGGAGAAGUUGGGAGAGAGGAAGAGGAUGGAAAUAGCAAGCUCCAUUCUGUGAUCUUUGAGGUUGGCUAUGGAGACGAUGGAGCUGGAUUCUGGAAGCCAUUCAGGAAGAUGAAAACGUAACGACGAAGAUCGGAGAUGCUGGAUCGCCGGAAAAUGGGCUGCAAAUUCAAAUGGGAAAGAAGAAACGGGGACUUCGAGCUAUGGGUAAAUAAGCCAACAAACCUAACCGGAUGAACCGUUCAAACAGCCCGAACCAAACUAAAUUAAAUAGGUUGAUUUUUUUUAGGGUAAAAGACCGUUUACUACCCUCAUGUUUUGUGGUUUUCAACAUUUAGUACAUCAAGUUUUUUUCGUCUCAGAUUCAUACCUAAAGUGUAAAUUUUGGGACAGUCUCAUACAUCCGUUAGUCAAACUGUUAAAUGCCAUUAAUUGUGACGUGGCGCCAUGACUGGGCGCCACCUAUCAUCCACAUUUUUUUUUCUUUUUUUUUUCUUUUCUUCUUUCUUCUUCUUCCUUCUUCUUCUUCUGCAACUUUUUUUUUUCUUCCUCCUUCUCCUUCUUCCUUCCCCUUCUUCUCCUUCUUUCUUCUUCUUCCUUCUCCUUCUCCUUUUUCUUCUUCUUCCUCCAAAUCUGGGGAAGUUUUUUUUCUUUUUCCUCCUUCUUCCUCCUUCUUCUUUCUUCUUCUUCUUCUUCUUCUUCCUCCGACUGCAAUUUUUUUUUUUUUUUUGAGGAAGAAGGAAGAAGGAAGAAGGAGAAGAAGGGGAAGGAAGAAGGAGGAAGGAAGAAGGAGAAGAAGAAGGAGGAAGAAGAAGAAGGAAGAAAAAAAAUUGCCGUCGAAGGAAGAAGAAGAAGAAGAAGGAGGAAGGAGGAGGAAGAAGAAGAAAGAAGAAAGAAGACAAAAAAAAAAAAAACCUUCAUCUUCCCCAGAUUCGAAGGAAGAAGAAGGAAGAAGGAGAAGAAGGGGAAGGAAGAAGGAGGAAGGAAGAAGGAGAAGAAGGAGAAGAAGGAGAAGAAGGAGGAAGAAAAAAAAUUCCUUCAUCUUCCCCAGAUUCGGAGGAAGAAGAAGAAGGAAGAAGAAGGAAGAAGGAGAAGAAGAAGGAAGUAAAAAAAAAGAAAAAAAAGUUGCAGUCGGAGGAAGAAGAAGAAGAAGAAAGAGGAAGAAGGAGGAAGAAGAAGAAGAAAGAAGAAAAAAAAAUAAAAAGAAAAAAAACUUCCCCAGAGUCGGAGGAAGAAGAAGAAGAAUGAGAAGGAGAAGGAAGAAGAAGGAAGAAGGAGAACAAGGGGAAGGAAGAAGGAGAAGGAGGAAGAAAAAAAAAGUUGCAAAAGAAGAAGAAGGUAGAAGGAAGAAGAAGAAAGAAGAAAGAAGAAAAGAAAAGGAAAAAAAAACGUGAAUGACACAUGGCGCCCAAUCAUGGCGCCACGUCACAAUUAACGACAGAUUUAACAGUUUGACUAAUGGAUGUAUGAGACUGUCCCAAAAUUUACACUUUAGGUAUGAAUCUGAGACGAAAAAAAACUUGAUGUACUAAAUAUUGAAAACCACGAAACAUGAGGGUAGUAAACAGUCUUUUACCCUUUUUUUUAUGUACAACAAUAUUUACAUUAUAGGGUUUGAAUUAAAUUGAAGAGAAAUGUCACCAACUAUAUUAGUAGUGACAAAAUCGAUUUUGGAAGAAGUUGUCUAUUUCAGAGGGGAUUUACCAGAUGCCGAAUGUAACUAUGUAAAUUUUCUCCUGUAUUUACUAAUUUGUAAGGAAUUGAAAAAAUAGUUGUUUCUUAAAAUUCAUUAUCAAACACCUAAAAAUCAGGAAGCAUAUCAAGUAUGGGCCAUUUGAUCCUGCUCUCUUUUCUUACUUUUCAUAUUUCUAAGUUAUUUCAUUCCUUGUUACUCAAUACUACGUUCGGUGGUAUUCCUAUUCACUUGAAACUGAGAGGUCUUAGAUUCGAAUUUCGUGGAUGGCGAAUUCGAUACCAAAUUAGGUUGCACAUUGUGUAGUUUAGCCGAACUCCCCCUCAACAUAGUGUAAAAAUAUAUCGAUGUACUCAAAAAGUUAUUUCAUUUCUUUAUUUUCUCAUUUAUGAUAAGUAAACAUUGAUAUAUGGAUCCAAUAUUGCAUAUCGUGUUUAUGAAUGAGCCUUGGUAGGAGUCACAACCUAAUCAUGAGUGAAAUCGUCACAUGUGUAGUGCCAAUGUUUUCAUGCACACGCUCACCAAAGGGUCUGUUUCGUUUUCCUACCUCUCGGUUGGUCCAACUAGGUCCGAAAGUACUCCAAAGGUAAAGUAAGGCCCAAGGAAUACAUCGUGUUCACAACAUCAUAACAAUAAUAAGGAAAUACAAUGGAGAGGCUUAGGUGAGAGCCUUAUGGCGCAAUAAACUUCAAUUUAGGUCAUGAGGAGUAGAGGCAAAGUUGACCAACUUCUUACAUAGAGUUUUAGGGGAUGAAAGGGAUCAAAAUCGAAUUCCAGGGGGCAAAAUAGAACAAACUAUGAAUCUAAGGGAGUGAAGUGACGAUUUUUUAUUUACAAUGAGCAAAGUAAGAUUAAAAUCGAGGGUGUAGCUAAAAAUAAGCACAUUUGUUUACUUUCUUGGUUUGAUCAUGUAAUUUAAAUAUUAUUUUCCCAAUAAAUUUUGGAAGGCAAACAAACUCAUCAAGAGGUAAUAUUGCAGAAGUGCUAAUUCACUUGGAAGAAUGGAACAGGAACAUAUAGGAUAAAAUAGGUGGGAACCGCACGAAUCGGAUUUUUUGAGGAACAUAUCGAGCAAGAAUUGGUUAGACAAUGUGUGGUUGUUAAACAAGGAUCAUCAUUAUGCAUUGUGUUAGUGAAUCGUGCUAAGAACAAGUCAAUCCUAUUUAGGUUCUAUACAAAGAAGGGUACAUGAAUUAUGCUCUUGAUGAUUCAAUAUGUCAUCAAAUGGUUUGGAUUACAAUUGUUCCUAAAGAAAUUUGGCUUCCACCAUAAAACCAAUUAGCUAUAUGGAGAGUAGUCUAACUACUUAUAAGUUCAUGCAAGGUUCUUCCUCCCAUCAACAUAUGACUCAUUGUCAACACGCCUCUUCACGUAUGGCGAAUUUUCAAGUCUAACACGUGGACAAUACAACGGAGUGUCAUUGAGCAAGUGUGGCAGUGCGUAUGACCGUUUGACUUCACACGUGGGACAACCUACUUUAAUACCAUAAAGAAUUUGAGGUUCCACCAUAAAACCAAUUGACUAUAUACCAAGUAGCGCAGCUACUUAUAAGCUCAUGGAAAGUUCUUUCUCCCUUCAAUGUAGGACUUAUUCUCAACAUACUACGUAGGCUACAUAUUUCAUACCAAAAUCUAAAACCGUCAAGAGUUUGUGGAGGAAAGUGCAAGCUACACUUCCGUUGUUAGAUUCCUCACAAAAAUUAGUUGUUGUUAGAUUCCUCACAAAAAUUAGUUGGGGUUAAUUUUGGGCUUGAGCAACUAAGUUCUCUAUUAGCUCAUGAUGUCAAUGAUGUACGUUUUAUAGGGAUAACGGGGAUGGGUGGCAUAGGUAAGACAACCCUUGCUAAGCUUGUUUGUGAUAGAAUCUUUCAUCAUUUUGAAGUUCACUGCUUUCUCGGCAACGUUAGAGAGGUUUCUAACGUUGAUCUUCAAAAAAGACUUCUUUUCCCGGUGUUGAGGGAAAAGAUUGAAGAAAUUUGGGACGAAGAGCGUAGAAUUAUUUUCACUAAGAAGUUCUUACGCAACAAAAAGGUUCUUCGUGUACUUGAUGAUGUGGAUCACAUAAACCAGCUACAAGUACUAGCUGGAAAGGAAGAUUGGUUUGGCAUGGGAAGUCGAAUUAUCAUUACAACUAGAAAUGAACGUCUGCUAGUCCAGCAUGACGUAACAUUAUGUCAUCAUGUCAAAAUGUUGGAUAAAGGCGCAGCUCUUGAACUGUUUAGCCUACAUGCCUUUAAGAAAAAUAUGCCUGAGGAUGGGUUUUGGGAACUGUCAACGUAUUUCAUUAAUUAUGCUGGAGGCCUUCCAUUAGCUCUUGAAACUUUGGGGUCGGCAUUGUUUAAGAGAAGGCUAGACACUUGGAAUAGUGUGUGGGAUAAUCUGUCAAAAAUUCCUAAUCCAACAAUUUUUGAUAAACUUAAAAUAAGUUAUGAUGGACUAGAAGAGUGGGAGAAGAGAAUUUUUCUCGAUGUUGCAUGUUUUCACAAAGGGAAGUACACAAAGCGAGUAAUUGAAAUGCUAGAUGAUUCUUUUGGAAUAUCUAGUAGUAUUAUGAUAGAUGUACUAAUUGAGAGAUCUCUCAUCUAUCAAGAUCAUAGAAAAUGCAUAUGGAUGCAUGAUUUGAUUCCAGAAAUGGCAUGGAUAGUUAUUGCUCACGAGUCUAAAGAGCCUAGUCAACGCAGUAGUUUAUGGCUUUACAAUGAUAUUUAUCAUGUAUUCAGAACGAAUACGGUAAGAAGUUAAAUAUCAAGUUUGCAAGAAUAUAUGAUUUCUUUUGACAUUAUAUUAUUAUAUAAAUUAAUUCGUCCUUUUUUCCUUCAUUGUUAGGGAACAAGAACAUUUGAAGCCAUAUCCUUACGCCAGCUCAAAGUAGAAGAGGUACGCCAGUGGAAUUGCGAAGCCUUCUCUAAGAUGGAUGGACUGAGGUUUUUGGAGUUCGAUAACUUGAUCUUUUCUUCAGGCCCCAAAUUUCUUCCAUGUUCCUUGAGAAUUAUAAAUUGGAGUUGGUAUCCUUCUAAUUUUCUUCCAACCAGCUUUUGCCCGCACUUGCUUGCUCAACUUAAGAUGCGUAAUACCAAUCUUGUUCGUGUUUGGGAGGGAAAAGUGGUAAGAGCAGUUAUGAACAAAGGAUAAUAUUGGUUACUCACUAGUCAAUACUCACUUUUUGAUUUUUUCCAAUGAUAUUUUAACACAUAUUAUUUAAAAAUAACAAUAGACAGGUUAUUUAAUUUUUCUUGAGUUUUAAAAACAAGGAACGCAUGACAUUUUUUUAUUGUACAAUCCCAAAUGUCCCAACUUUCUUCCAUAUUCAUUGAGAAUAAAUGCUAUUCAAUUUACAAAAUAAUCAUAUAUUUAUUUAUUUAUUUAUUUAUUUAUUAUUUUGAAUAAACUUUAAGGUUGUGGAAGCUUAGUAAAUGAUCUGAACCUUAUCGGUGGUGUUGUACAUGACUUACCCAACUUGAAAUAUAUCGAUCUUAGCUACUCCAAUAAAUGGAAGAGUACCCCAGGAUUUUAAUGGUAUUCCAAAUCUUGAGGAGUUAAUUCUUGGGAAUUGUAAGAAUUUAGUUGAGACUCACCCGUCUAUUGCAGUCCUCAAAAGACUUAAGGAUUUGAACCUUCGUAACUGUGAAAGCAUUAAUACCCUCCCAAGUAAGGUUGAAAUGGAUUAUCUUGAAUAUUUCUGUCUUUAUGGCUGCUCAAAUGUGAAAAAUAUUCCAGAAUUUGGGGAGCAGAUGAAGAAUGUGUCCUGGAUUUCCUUAAGUGGGACUGCGAUCGAGAAAAUACCUUCAUCAAUUGGACAUUUGGUUGGCCUCAGGGAAUUGCAUGUAAGGAAUUGCAAAAAUCUCUUGAACCUUCCAAGGGCAAUUUGUAAUUUGAAGUCUCUUGAAGGGCUCUAUGUGAAUCAAUGCUCAAAGAUUGACAAACUCACUGGAGACAUGGAUCGCUUAGAGGCGCUUCGUUGGGGACCCACUAUGACACAGCCGCUUGUGAGUAUGAAAAAUCUCAAAAGUCUAGUAUUUAAGACAAAUUCUGACAUAGCCACUUGUGGAUCGGAUGGUAAAGCAAGGGAUGGGUGGGGCCUUCGCCGCUUAUUUGGACUUCAAAAGAGUCACCCUGAUCCUCCUCCUUGUUGGGGUUUGGUGUUGUCUUCUCUAAAUCGUUUAUGCAACUUGAGGAGGUUAGAGCUAAAGAAUUGUAAUCUCCGGGAGGGGGAUAUCCCCGAUGAUAUUGGCUGCUUGUCCUUUUUGAGAGAAUUGUAUCUUAGGAGAAAUAAUUUUGUCAGGUCCAUCCAAUUUUUAUGGUGGUUCUGUCACUUGCCAGAAUUGCAUUGCAUUGGUUCAAGAUGAAGACUUGAGUAAUAGGAUUCUAAAAUCUGUCAUUCAGGUACUCUCUCUCUCUCUCUCUCUCUCUCUCUCUCUCUCUCUCUCUCUCUCUCUCUCUCUCUCUCUCUCUCUCUCUCUAAAUAAUUGAUCUUUCUUCUGCUACAGGGAUUGGAAAUUGUAAUCCCUGGAAGUGAAAUUCCAAAGUGGUUCAAUAAUCAGAGUGUGAGACAUUCAAUAAAUGUGGAGCUUCCUCCACUAUCAUGUACCAACUGGCUUGGGAUUGCCUUAUGUGCUGUUUCUCUAGACCCAAACCCUAUACAAAAUGUGGAGCUUCCUUAUUGCUUUAGUUUUAGAAUUCACCGUUCAGGGAAACUUGUUAGCCCUGAAAUACUUGGCCCAGAAUACAAUUGGAAUACCUUACCGUCUCUUGUGUCAGAAAACCUUUCGGUAUUUUAUAUUCCUCGUCAAUAUUGUUUGCCUCGUGAAGAUUGUCAUUAGGAACAGUUUUUAUUUGGAGUUAUCUUUGGUAAUGUGUAUGGGAGAGACCUAAAAGCAGGCUUGGAUAAGGUGAAGAAGUGUGGGGCUCGUUUGGUGUACAAGCAAGAUUUGAAAGAACUCAAUCAAAAACAUGGGGCUCGUUUGGUGUACGAGCAAGAUUUGAAAGAACUCAAUAAAAAACUACUGAAACGAACACAUGAAAUUCGUGACGAGGUAGCUCCAAGUGGACCUGGAAGUGCUAGCUUCAACCACACAGAACAUAUUCGCAAAAGGCGUUGUAACUAGUCACCAUGUCACAAAAAAUGCAUGUAAGUAACCAUCGAUUAAUCACAUCAGCUUAAUUGUAAUCAAAAUUAUUUUUUGUUUCGACGACAUCCUAGUCAAUGUAAUCAAUCUCUCGAUCUAUAUAUUAAGAUGGCUAUAUUUAAUGAAAGGUGAGUGAAUAAGAAUGUUGAUGCAUAAAGACUUUUGCAGAUUACUUGGGCAUUAAGAAGAUUGAUUAACAAUCUGAUCAUCUUGCCUAAUGCAGUAAGUGGGUACCUUGUAAACUCACGACGCCAUGGGGGCUGGUCUGUCGGUCCUGAUCUUAAGGUUCAUUUUCUGAAGACGCCAUUAGCGUUAACAUGUACACCAGGGGUUGAAUUCAAACUUCUGUACUCUGGCAGAAAUUGAUUUGUUUCUGUCUGAUUUUGUAACUAAUGCAAACUUGUAGUCCAGAAACAGAAACGUUGCGAAGGAAACAACACUUUUUGCUCAACAACUUUGGUUUGAUUAAAACUUGGCUUUGGUGAUGCAAAAAAUAAGCAUUGAGAGUAUUUUUCCUGAGAUCAUUGGAAAGGUUGUCGUAAAACUUAGAACAGCAAAUCAUACUAAUUUUUUUAAAACCCUUUUUACACGGUAGUUUUGAAGUUUAAACUUUAAAACAGCAAAUCAUACUUUUUUUUUAUUUUUUUUAUUUGUCAAAAGCAAAUCAUACUAAUUAACUCAGCUAAGAAAUAUUCAAAUAAUCCCCGGGCAAGCUGAGAGUAUGAUUGGAAAUUAGAAGUCUGACUUGGUCUAACAUCCCCGGGCAAGCUGACAGAUUGUAGCCCAACUGGAAGCUUGGACACCAGCAGUUUAAAUCGAGAUGAAGAUAACCCUUCGUGAAUAAAUCAGCAAUUUGAUCUUGUGAACAAAUAAAAUUCACCAGUAGCUCACCUCUAAUCACCUUCUCCCUGAAAUAAUGAUAAUCAACUUCUAAGUGCUUGGUUCUUGAGUGGAAAACUGGAUUGGAUGCUAAGGCAAUGGAAGACAAAUUAUCACACCAAAUCUGUUACCUUAGAAGAUUCUAAUGUACAUCCCUAAACAACGAACAUAACCAGGGCAACUCAGCGGCGGUGUAUGCAAGCUGCCUAUAUUCAGCUUCAGUGCUAGACCUGAAAACUGUUUUCUGUUUCUUCGAACUCCACGAUAUUAAGUUUUCACCCAAGUAUACACAGAAGCCUCCAGUUGAGGCGUGUCUAGGUUCUCUACAUAAUCACAAUCAAAGCGAAAAAAAUUCACAAAUGACUAGCAAAUAGAGGAAAACUUCCAGGAGUAGUCUGAAAAUAGUUUUCUUCUUUUCCGUAAACAAGUCCGAACAUACUUUUAUUUGCAAAGCAGAUCUGUCAAAACUGGAACAAUAGAUGAAAAUAAGGGCAAUGAGGGAAAACAUUCAACACAGGAAAAGACCAAAAUCUAGAAUGAAGUAAUUUAAAAUUGCCAUAAAUUACAAAGAAAAGUAGGGUAUAACACUAAAGAGCUACAUUAGAUAUGUUAUAUAAAUUUUGGAUGGAUCAGGCAUUCUCUGUAUCCUUGAAUACUUCUCAGGUGUUCUGCUGUUUGCUUUUAUAUUGCCAUUUCACAAUAUGGAAAGCAAGGAAUUAAAUCACGUGUGCUGUUGUCAAAAAUUAAGGCAAGGCAAACUAUGGAUUGACAAUUCGUGAUUUUAUAUUACCAUUCACAAUAUGAACAGCCAGUACCAUGCAAAGUUCCGUCCCCACCCCCCUAAGGUCCAUUGGACCUAUGGCUACAGCAAGGGCGUAACCGUAUCCCCAUAUACAUGAUAACUUGGCUAAAGAAUAUCGUUUUAUAUUUAAAGGUUGCAAACACUUGCUCUAACUGAUGCCUGACCUCAUUAGCAGUAGGCCAUUUGUUAUCACUAAUCUCCAAGGUCAAUUCAAAACAGCCACCAUUUUUGUAGUUCCAAUCUUGCAUGCCUCCAUAUAUAGGGUACCUACAACAGGUGUCUUAAGAAACAAUAGAUGAAUAUCAAACAGAAGGAAAAUAUACCUAUAAUAAGUUGUAAUGUUUCAAGCCAUCAUACCAGAAAGCUCGAUUCGUAAUCCCUCCCUCAAAUUCCUUGCGCAAUGACAUAUUGUAGCGAGAGCGACUAUAUACACUUGCUAAGAACCGGAAUGUCUCGUCGUCUGGACAUGCAAAAUAAUCUUUCCUGUAAUUUAAUUUAGAUCAAAAGACAAGAGCAUAUGUGCAAAAUAAAAAUUAAUAAGCGUUUAAAAAUUAAUAAGCGUUUAAAAAUUAAUAAGCGUUAGCAUAAAUUCUGGGAUAGUGUUAUUUAGAACUUACACAUAUUGUUAGGCACCAUCCGAAAAUCCAUAAUCAUAUUAGAAGUAAUCGGCAAUGUUCAUAACAUUACAGUAACACUUUAAGACCUACUAUUGACAUCACCAUGCUUGUUUCACACUAUAAAAGAAACAUUUAAAAACGUGAACACAUUGGGCAUCAUAGGUAAAAUUAAAUAAUGAUCAAAACCUACACUCUCACUGAGGCCAACGUACAAAAGAAACAUUCAACUCUCUUGCAAAAUUCUCUGAAAGAAACAUUGGGCAUCAUAGGUAUAAAUGAAACAUUCAACUCUCUUGCAAAAUUCUCUAAAUUCUCCAAGCACUUUUCCCUCAAAAUUCUAACUUUGGCAUCAGAGGCUCUUCCGCUAAAGCCCCCCCCCCCAACUUCAUCGUGAACGCAUAAGGCUAUUGGCCUUGACCUAAGAUGUUAUUUGUUUUGUAGGUGCAAUUUUGUCCAAGAACAAGGAGGAAGAAAUUUGCAUCCACAAAUUGGUGCUUUAAUUGAGAGUUGAGUCACACACUCCUAGAAGACUCUCACAUCUAAGGUUUUUCGUUUUCUUGUUCAUUUAUAGAUUUUUCAUACAUUCUUAUUCUUAGAAUUUUUAUUUCUAAAGAUUCUUUAGUAAAACGUAAAAGAAAGGUACAAUGGCAAGGGACUCGAAAACCUCGAAGAACGAAACUUUCUAUGUUCAAAGAUCCGGAUCGAAUGACGGAGGAUGAGAUGUAAACCCACCACAACGAUCCACAAGGCACCCAGCAUAUUUAUCAAAAAAUGCUCAAACUAUCACUUGAAAUUGCAUGAACGAGUAACAAUCGAUUUACAUUCUGGGGAAUGGAAAAGGAAGAAAAGAAAGUUUUCAAGUAGCACACAGAAUACAAAAAUACUACACUGUCAGUGUAUGCACACACUCAAUAAAUUGAAAUCCGGGUAGUAUGCAAAACUUUUUCGACAAAAAGUGAAAUUCAUGACUUCAGUUUUCGACAGUAAACGCGAAAUAUGGCAGGUGGAAAAUGAAAGACUAACAAUAAAACAAAAUAUUAAUAAUAUAUUAUUAGUUGCAGUGGAAUUUAGAAACAAUGAACAUUUUAAGGAAGAAGAUGAGGGAAAUGUAAAUAUCCAAUUGCACGAGAUUUUUCGGCAUGUACUUAUACAUUAUAAUAACUCCGCAUGUGUAAGUUUAUCUUACAUUGCCGGUCCCAAGCCCGGGUAAAGGAGGAGCGGGAGGGCGUCAGGUAGUCGACAGCCGGCACUCCACAGUUAUGUCGAAUCCUUAUGAAAAUGAAUCUAGAACGAAAUCGCGCUAAAGCUAGGGCGUCACCCGUAAGUGGCGCGCUGUGUGACCCGAGCACAGUGAUAAGUGAGCAAGGGUCGCUGUAUCUCUAUCGGCACCCGGAUGCAGUGUUAAAUGAGCAAGGGGGCCAUAGAAACUUCUUUUCGACUCCACUCAAAGUUGUUUGGGAGCAUAUGCUCCUAUCAACUUUACACAGGAUACACAAAAGAAGUACUUUGAUUCUAUUGGACGGGGGAGGGUGAAGAAGCUAGGACAGAAGGGUAGAGUUCAAGAGAGUAGAAUGCGUUUAGGAACGUGGAAUAUAGGAACCUUAACGGGAAAAUCUAUGGAAGUAGUGGAAGUUAUGGUGAGGAGAAGGAUAAAUAUUAUGUGCCUACAAGAAACUAAGUGGGUUGGUCUUAAGGCAAAGGAUCUAGAAAACUCAGGGUUUAAACUUUGGUAUUCGGGCACAAAUAGAACGAGAAACGAUGUUGGCAUCAUCGUGGACAAGACCUUGACACAAGAUGUUGUAGAUGUCAAGAGGGUAGGAGAUAGAAUCAUGGCAAUCAAGAUUGUAAUAGGACAAGAACUCGUCAAUGUGAUUAGUGCGUACGCACCUCAAGUAGGGUUGGAUACGAGUUCGAAGGAGAAAUUUUGGAAAGACCUUGGAGACUUGGUGCAAGGAAUUGCCCGGACGGAGAAGUUAUUUAUAGGAGGAGAUUUAAAUGGACACGUGGGCAGGGAGACAGGCAACUAUGGAGGUUUUCAUGGUGGCCAUGGUUUUGGGGAGAGAAACGAGGAUAGGGAAGCUAUCUUGGAUUUUGCAAUGGCAUAUGAUCUCUUCUUAACCAACACCUUCUUUAAGAAGAGAGAAGAACAUGUGAUCACCUACAAGAGUGGGUCGUCAAAAACACAAAUAGAUUUUCUUCUAAUGAGGAAAGGGGAUCGUAUAACUUGUAAGGAUUGCAAAGUUAUACCGGGAGAGAGCUUGGCUAAUCAACAUCGCUUGUUGUUGAUGGAUGUACAUAUCAAAAAAGUGAGAAAAAAAGAACAAGACUUGGAAGUGCCCAAGGACUAGAUGGUGGAAUCUAAAAGGAGAAAAACAAGCCAUUUUCAAAGAGAAAAUAAUCACCCAGUGUGGGUGGGAUAGAGAGGGGGAAGCUAGCCAAAGGUGGGAUUCCAUGGCUAGUUGUAUCCGAAAAGUAGCAAAAGAGGUAUUAGGAGAGUCCAAGGGCUUUACUCCACACCAAAAGGAAUCUUGGUGGUGGAAUGAGGAGGUACAAACAAAGGUGAAGGCUAAGAAGGAAUGUUGUAAAGCCUUAUACAAGGACAUGACCGAUGAAAAUGGUGAAAGGUAUAGAAGAGCGAAGCAAGAGGCAAAGAAAGCUGUGAGAUAAGCUAAGUUAGCGGCUUAUGACGAUAUGUAUAAGCGACUAGAUACCAAAGAAGGAGAGUUGGAUAUCUAUAAACUAGCUAGAGUAAGGGAAAAGAAGACAAAGGACCUAAACCAAGUGAGGUGCAUCAAGGAUGAGGAUGGAAAGGUUCUUGCUACAGAGAACGCAGUCAAAGACAGAUGGAGAGGUUAUUUUCAUAAUCAUUUCAAUAAAGGACAUGAAAGGAGUACUUCUUUAGGGGAGUUGAGUAACUCAGAAGAGUGUAGAAACUACUCCUUUUAUCGUCGAAUCAGGAAGGAAAAAGUGGUUGUAGCUUUGAAGAAGAUGAAGCAUAGAAAAGCAGUGGGCCCAGACGAUAUACCGAUCGAAGUGUGGAAAGUCUUGGGAGAGACAGGUAUAGCAUGGCUCACUGACCUUUUCAAUAGGAUUUUGAAAACGAAGAAGAUACCAAAUGAGUGGCGAAAGAGCACUUUGGUGCCUAUCUACAAGAACAAGGGCGACGUACAAAAUUGCAUGAACUAUAGGGGUAUUAAGCUAAUGAGUCAUACAAUGAAGCUCUGGGAGAGAGUCAUUGAGCAUAGAUUGAGGCAAGAGACACGGGUUUCGAACAACCAAUUCGGGUUCAUGCCAGGGCGCUCAACAUGGAGGCAAUCUAUCUCUUACGAAGAUUGAUGGAAAGAUAUAGAGAUGGGAAAAAUGAUUUACACAUGGUCUUUAUAGAUUUGGAAAAAGCAUAUGAUAGGGUCCCAAGAGACAUUCUUUGGAGGAUUUUAAAGAAGAAAUGAGUACGAGUGGCAUAUAUCCAAGCUAUAAAGGGUAUGUAUGAAGGAGUAAAGACUGCCGUAAGAACUUAUGAAGGACAAACCGAAAGCUUCCUCAUAACUGUAGGAUUACAUCAAGGCUCAUCCUUAAGUCCUUACCUUUUUGCGUUGGUAAUGGAUGAGUUAACAGGACAUAUUCAAGAUGAUAUUCCUUGGUGUAUGCUUUUCGCAGACGAUAUAGUGUUGAUAGAUGAAACUCAGGAAGGGGUAAAUGCAAAGCUUAACCUUUGGAGAGAAGUGUUGGAAUCUAAAGGUCUUCGCCUAAGCCGAUCAAAGACAGAAUAUAUGGAGUGCAAGUUCAGUGCAAAUGGAGGCCAAAAUGAGUUAGGGGUGAGGAUUGGCGAUCAGGAAAUACCAAAGAGCGAUCGUUUUCACUACUUAGGAUCUAUCUUGCAAAAGAACAGAGAAUUAGAUGAAGAUCUUAACCAUAGAAUACAAGCUGGAUGGAUGAAGUGGAAGAGUGCAUCCGGCGUGUUGUGUGACCGUCAUAUGCCACUGAAGCUCAAGGGAAAAUUUUAUAGGACGGCAAUAAGGUCGGCGAUGCUGUAUGGCACAGAAUGUUAGGCAGUGAAGCAUCAACACGUACACAAAAUGGGUGUAGCGGAGAUGAGGAUGCUUCGUUGGAUGUGUGGGAACACGAGAAAGGAUAAGAUUAGGAAUGAGGAUAUCCGAGGUAAAGUAGGAGUAGCCGAAAUUGUAGGAAAGUUUAGAGAAAAUCAGUUACGGUGGUUUGGACAUGUGCAAAGAAUGCCUACUGACACUCUGGUUAGAAGAUGCGACUACGGGACAGAGGUCCAGGGCCGAAGGAGUAGAGGAAGACCUAGGAAAAUUUUGGAAGAGACUCUAAGAAAAGACUUAGAGUAUUUGGAUUUAACGGAGGACAUGACACAGGACCGAGCACAAUGGCGUUCUAAGAUUCAUAUAGCCGAUCCCACUCAGUGAAGAAGGCUUUGGUGUAUUUAACACAAUACGUUGGAAAUGAAGCAAAGCUUAUUUAUUGAUAUCUCUGAUAAGUUACAAAUAUGUACAUAUACAUGAGUCAAAAUAAACAAACAAGAGGGAGCUUUCACAAAGGUUACUUAGGAGAAGUCUUAGCAAUCGGUAGAGCCCCAGAAAGAGAAGGCACCGAGGGGGAUCAUUCGGAGCCUUAGUACUGGACAGAACCCUAGAAGGAGGAGACAUCAGAGGUUGAUCAUUUAGAGCUUCAUUAUGCGGUACAGCCCCAGAAGACGAAGGCAAUAAAUGCCUUUGGAACAAACCCACAAACCGCUGAUGAUCAAGUAAAACCUGACCAUCAGAUUCCUUCAUCUGGUCAAGCUUCCUAUUCAUGUUUGUAGCAUAGUUAUGUGCGAGCCGAUGCAACUGUUUAUUCUCAUGCUUGAGCCCUCUAAUCUCCUAUUUGAGACUCAUCACUUCAGCCGCCAAUGAUUCAACUUGGCGGGUUCGAGCAAAUAGGCGUUGGGCCAUAUUAGACACAGAACCUGCACACUGAACACUCAGAGCCAAAGAAUCCUUCACAGCCAAUUCAUCAGAUCGUUUGGAAAGUAGUCUGUUAUCUUUGGGAGUGAGAAGGUUCCUGGCCACCACCGCAGCGGUCAUAUCAUUCUUCAUCAUGGAAUGCCCAACGGUAAAAGGACCAGUAGGGGAUAAGAAGGAUGGGCGCCAUAUGUUGUCUGGAGAAGGCGUGGCUGCCUCUUCAACAAGGUUCAAGUCAAAACGACGGUCGGAGGGGCCAGACAUUUUCAAAGGUGUUGAAGAGAGAAGAGGUUGAACAAAUCAAGAUCUUAGAAGUGCAAUAAGUGAGCUUCUACUGGUGAAGAUUCAAGUGUGCUUUGAAACUUAAUGUCAGCCUCUAUAAAAAUCUGCACUCGACGGAGCUUCAGAAAUCGAAGAGGCGUCUGCCCAGAAAUCAAAGAGGCGUCUGCCCAGAAAUCAAAGAGGCGUUUGCUUUCUCAAAAGCUGGGCUGCUCAGAGACCAUGAGGGUCGAUCUCAGAAAUCGAAGAGGCGUUUGCUUUCUCAAAAGCUGGGCUGCUCAAAGACCACGAAGGUCGAUCUCAGAAAUCGAAGAGGCGUUUGCUUUCUCAAAAGCUGGGCUGCUCAAAGACCACGAAGGCCGAUCUCAGAAAUCGAAGAAGCGCUUGCUUUCUCAAAAGCUGGGCUUCUCAGAGACCACGAGGGCCGAUCUCAGAAAUCGAAGAGGCACCUGCUUUUUUCAGCCUUGUCAGCACCUGUCACAUGCACACUCAGCUUUGCUGAAUUACGGGCAUUCUGUUGAAGAUUUCUGGUGAAGUGAAAAGCAAGUGAAUCUUACUGUUCAAUCAUCCACUUUUCACACGCACCAUCAGCUCAUGGGUACCACAGAUAACUUUGCCAAAGAUCUCUGACAAAGUUUAUACACGUGAAGCUUGCAGCUCCCACUACAUCGCUAUGACCAAGAAGGGUAAAAGAAUAGCAAAGAAACAACACUAACAAAGUUUAGACACAUAAAUUUUGAAGGUCUAGCUAUCAUAUUAUUACCCACAAGGGUAAAGGAACAGCACCACUGCUGGAUAAUUGGAAAGUCCUUGUGUGUCAACCUCUGUGCUCCGUGGCAAGGUAGAAUAGCAAACAUGCCCUACCUUUACUCACAUUCGAGAAAACACUCCCAACAAGAUUGCUUGCUCCAAAAUCGAAGAGGCACCGUCCUCCGACUCUCGAGAGCCAGACUCUCAACAUGAUUACUUUCUCAAAAAUCGAAGAGACACCACUCUCCGAAUCUCGAGAGCCAGACUCCCAGCAUGAUUGCUCUCUCAAAAAUCGAAGAGGCAUCGUUCUCCGAAUCUCGAGAGCCAGAUCCCCGACAGGAUUGCUUGUUCGAAAACCGAAGAGGCACCGCUUUCUCAACUUCGAGAGCCAGAUCUCCUUGGAUAAAGCUUGUCUGUAAUCUUCACGCAACAUCAGCUUUUCAGAUACCACAGACCACUUUUUCAAAGUGCUCUGACACACGUGAAGCUGGCAGCUCCCACUACCGUGCUAUGACUAAGCAGGGUAAAGGAAUAGCAUUACUACUUGUUGUUAGGGAGACUCCUAUAUAUGUCGACCUUCAUCCUCAACGGACAGGCAAACCUGCAAAAAUGCUCGACCCUUCCUCAUAUCUGAGAGGGCACUCCCGACGAAGCCUCUCAAAAUACUCAGCUUUCUUUCCCCCCGAUAAUACCUCUGCAACAAGCUACACCAGAGCAAGAAUAUCUAAUAUCAUCAGGGUUAAAAGCAAGAGUAUCCCAUAUCAUGCUUUUUUCCUUGUCUUUUCCUUUGGCCUUGUUCUUACCUGCAAGACAAGGAGAAAGAGAGCAAUCAGUCAGCAUUUGGAAUCAAGCUUCCAGUCAGGAACUGACUGCCUGGAACCCCUUACCUGAUUACUUACCUGGCAUUGCUCUCGAGUACUCAUCUUCAACAUCUUAUGCUUCCAGAGAAGACACCACAUCUGCCUAAGAAACCGAUAGGGAAAGUGAAAAGGAUACAAGGAAACAUGUGGAGACAAGCGUAACAGAACACGUGCCGAUACAUCCACUACUUUGUCAACAGCAAAAGUAUCCCAUAUCAGCACGGUCGAACGUACUCUAGAUUUGAUGGACUUGUUUUUGACCCUCAAAUUCUUCAGUCGGCCUUAUACUUUGGAGGAAACCAGAAAACCCUCCAGCCCAGUUCAAGAAUAAGCCUAUGGAAAGUUACUUCUUCAAAAGCAAAAGUAACUCAUAUCAUCUAUUCUCCUUUUCUUCUCUUUAUCCGCUGCCUGCAAGAUAGGGAGAAUGAGAACAAUCAGCCGGAACUCGAAAUCAAACUUCUGAUCUGGGACUAAUUGCUUGGAGCUCUGAUUGCUUACCUUGUUUAUCACCUCUUUCAGCAGAUCCCCUUGCUCGGCGACUUGGGGGACUCCUACUACAUGGUUUGUAUCGCGCUUGACCAAGCCUGAAACUACAAGUAAGCUUCAAGUGAAAUUGAUACAUUACCUUGUGCAUCUCCACCAGUUAAAGAUACCACCCCUGGAUGGAGGAAGAGUACUUAGAAGUUUCGUGAUUACGAGAUCAUUCUCCCACAAUAUUUCCUAAUGUCACUUGUACUCAAUCAUUCAUUUGUACUCACUAAAGGAGAGCUUGAACCUAUGUACUUGUGUAAACCCUUCACAAUUAAUGAGAACUCAUUUACUCCGUGGACGUAGCCAAUCUGGGUGAACCACGUACAUCUUAUGUUUGCUUUCCUGUCUCUAUCCAUUUACAUACUUAUCCACACUAAUGACCAGAGCAGCAAUAACUUAAUACUUUCUGUUGUACCAAAGUCCUCACUGAUUUUGUGUGCAUCAACAAUCCUUAAGUCCUUAACCUUUUGCGUUGGUAAUGGAUGAGUUAACAGGACAUAUUCAAGAUGAUAUUUCUUGGUGUAUGCUUCUCGCAAAUGAUAUAGUGUUGAUAGAUGAAACUCAGGAGGGGUAAAUGCGAAGCUUAACCUUUGGAGAGAAGUGUUGGAAUCUAAAGGUCUUCGCCUAAGCCGAUCAAAGACAGAAUAUAUGGAGUGCAAGUUCAGUGCAAAUGGAGGCCAAAAUGAGUUUAGAGGCGAGGAUCGGAGAGAUCAGGUAAUACCAAAGAGCGACCGUUUUCGCUACCUAGGAUCUAUCUUGCAAAAGAACGGAGAAUUAGAUGAAGAUCUCAACCAUAGAAUACAAGCUGGAUGGAUGAAGUGGAAUAGUGCAUCCGGCAUGUUGUGUGACCAUCGUAGGCCACUGAAGCUUAAGAGAAAAUUUUAUAGAACGGCAAUAAGGCCGGCGAUGCUGUAUGGCACAGAAUGUUGGGCGGUGAAGCAUCAACACGUACACAAAAUGGGUUGGACAUGUGCAAAGAAGGCCUACUGACGCUCCGGUUCGAAGAUGUGACUACGGGAUAGAGGUUCAGGGCCGAAGGGGUAGAGGAAGACCUAGGAAAACUUUGGAAGAGACCCUAAGAAAAGACUUAGAGUACUUGGAUCUAACGGAGGACAUGACACAAAACCGAGCGCAAUGGCAUUCUAGGAUUCAUAUAGCCGACCCCACUUAGUGAGAAAAGGCUUUGUUGUUGUUGUUGUUGUUGUACUUAUACAUUAUAAUCUUUGUCAUGUUACAGCUUCUCAGUUUCAUUAUAAGUUUCUUGUGGUCUCGUAGCAGUUUCCUUUAUUCUUUCCAUACAAGAUCAGAGAAAAAGUAACAAAAAAUUGUGACUAAAAACUGCCCUCAAAACACAUACAAUUGAUAGAGUCUGUCCUUUCUCAGGGACAAGUAACAUAAUUGAACUAGCGGAAUGAAUAAAACUUUUCUAAAGAGUGCAGAUGGAUAUUCUCCAACACCAGAAUCAACUCAAUUCGGUGGUAAACAGGUAUUGCACCCUUCUGGAUUCAAAGGUGCAAUAAGCUAGAAGCUACAUCGCACUUUUUUAACUUCCACUAAUAAGAAAUCAAUGUAAUUAAGUUUCUGACCCUUAUUCAGCGUUAUUGUUGCAAAAAGAUUUUCUGGUACUGGUGCCUGAAUCCUUAUUACACAGCUCUAUGGUUAAUUUCAGUUUCAAGCAGCUGCAAGGACUAAUUUGUGCUAAUCUUGAAGGAAUCAAAGCAUGUUCCUGUUCUUUUGAAUCAUAACUUUUUCUGGGUUAUGGAACAAAUAUAAUUUCCACGUUAUUAUUUUUUUCAAAAAAAAAAAUUCUACGUUAUUAUUAUUUACAGAAGGGAAGGGGGGACGCUAACGCAUUUUCCUUCAAAAAUCCUGCCAUGUUCCAAAAAAUUGAUUGUAUACAGGAAGGAUUAAAAUUUCAGGAUUCAAAAGUUUUUACCAAAUGGCGGCUUCAGGCUCUUCCACCCCGGGCUAAGCAGAAAUUGUUACUACCCACUACAGGCAAUAAUACAUCAAACAUUACCAACUUCAUAAGAUGUGAGUCAAGAUGUUAUUCUAAUAAAUAAAACUAAAGCGACAAAAACAAAGAGGAAAACUUCAGUGAAACGAUUACCAGCGGAACCCUAUUCACACUCUUCUCUAUUCACAUUUUCGGUAAACAUAUAAUUAUAUCAAAUUAGAUUAUAUAAUUCUUGUUAAGCUACUAAGCUUCAACUUUAGUGAUAAAUACCGCGUCUGAGACUCCUUCUCUUCAAACAAUUGCCUGCCGGAACCAGCGCGAGGACCAAAUUCGAAACCUAUCAACAUUUAAUUUACAAUUAGCUAAAUUCUUAAUGCUUAAAGAUUUAGUUUCCUUUUCUAGUAGCGCUAAUCCACCUAAAAUGUAAAGAAUUUAAGGAAGCAAUAGGCAUGAUAAUCUAUCUGAUCAUAAUUAACUACCGUUUGGUACCUGAAAUAUCAAAGGAAAAUUUUUCAAUUUACUUCUUGUUCUUGUAAUCUCAGUUUUUCAACUCCCAAAGAACUAAAUGCACACACAUGAAUAUAGAAUGCAUACAAAUACAAGGACGGAGCUACCAUGGGCCUAGGGGGGCGGAUGCCCCCAUUGAGAUUUUUCUGACGCUGGGAUGCUGCUCAAAUUGAGCUGGGUUUGCAGCAGCAAAGCCCCCACUGAACUCAUCUGGUUCUGCUCUCCGACCUGGUUCUGCAAGAAGCAGAGCUGGGUCUUAUAUUUUUUUUUUUUUAAAUCCAGGCCAAAACGACGUCGUUUUGGUCCUGGUACAAAAAAAAAAUAAAUGAAACAGCGUCGUUUCGUAUAUGUUAACAAAAAAGAAAGUAUGUUAAAGGUGGACUGUGGGGACAAGCGGUCCCCCCUUUAAUCUCUAACCCCAUUCCCUGAUUCCUUCCCAUCUCUCUGUUCCUUUUUAUUUCCCUUGCCAAACAGAGAGCAGCGUGGUGCUACUCUCUUUCCCCAAAUUCCCAACAUCUUGAAACUGAACAGAACAGGAGCAAGGUGUUGUUCCCAGCCACGCCAACAGUUAGCCACUCCAGCCAGCUACUCUCUAGCCGACAUAUAUAUAUUUAUGGUAAAAUUCUUAAUUCCUAAAUCUAUAAUCCCUAACCCUAAUUAAUUAUUUAAGACGUUGGGAAAGGCAAAAAUCAAGAAACUACUUUGAAACGUGCUGGAGAAACACGUUGGGGUUCACACUUUGGUACUUUAGUAAGUAUCAUGACUAUGUUUUCAUCCAUACUUGAUGUACUUGAAGUAAUAGCAGAUGAUGGAGUAAGCUCUCAACAAAGAUGUGAAGCAAAUAAUUUAUUGGAUUCCAUGCAAUCAUUUAAUUUUGUGUUUAAUCUACACUUGAUGAAAGAUAUACUAGGAAUAACCAAUGAAUUGUCACAAGCAUUGCAAAGGAAGGAUCAGGAUAUUGUAAAUGCAAUGAAGUUGGUUGGAGUUUGUAAGCAAAGGUUGGAGAUAAUGAGGAAAAGUGGUUGGGAUUCUUUACUUAGUGAAGUCUCAGAAUUUUGUCUUAAACAUGAUAUUGAUGUGCCUAAUAUGGAUGAUAUGUUUCUUUCUCGAAGGCGAGGGCAACGAAAAGCACAAGCAGUCAUAAAUAUGCAUCAUUAUUGUGUUGGGAUAUUUUAUGUUGUUUUGGAUUGGCAGCUUCAAGAACUAAAUAAUCGUUUCAAUGAGACCAACACUGAGUUACUUCUUUGUUUGGCAUGUUUAUGUCCAGCCGACUCCUUCUCUGCUUUUGAUAGCCAAAAGCUAUUGCGUCUUGCCCAGUUUUAUCCUAAAGACUUCUCUAUGAAUGAGCUGGUGAUACUUAAGAUUCAACUUGAGACUUACAUUAUGGAUAUGCGGUCUAGCAUUGAGUUUUCAAGUUUAAAAGAGAUUGGAGAUCUUGCAAAAAACAUGGUUCAAUGCAAAAAACACAAGGUGUAUUCGCUGGUUUACUUGUUUGUGACAUUAGCACUAACUCUUCCAGUUGCUACUGCAACCGUUGAAAAAGCAUUUUCGGCCAUGAAAAUUCUGAAGAAUCGAUUGAGAAAUCGAAUGGGAGAUCAAUGGAUGAAUGAUAACAUGGUUAUUUUUAUAGAGAGAGAGAGAUAUUUAAUGGUAUUGGUAAUGAUGUUGUCAUGCAACGCUUUCAGAACAUGAAAACACGUCGAGGGAUAUUGUAAGGGACUGUUGUAUGAAAAACUUUUUGGAUUAAUAUAUAAGUAUUGUGUUUAGUAAAUUCUUGAGCUUUUUAAUUAUGACUUUGUUGUUUGAGGAUGACCCCAUUCACACACAGCAGUUCUGGCUUCGUCCCUGUACAAAUAUGUAUGUAUGUGUGUGUGUGUGUGUGUGUGUGUGUGUGUGUGUGUAUGACAGAUGAGGAGACGGGGACCUGGAGGGUAGGAACUGUGAAGGCCGCCUCUAGCGGUGGCAGGACGAAGAAAAGAGGAGAAGCCUGAGAGAGAGAGGAACAGGAUGGAAAGAGCAAGCUUCAUGAUGUGAUCUUUGGAUUGACGAUGGUGGCGAUGGAGCUCCAGAAUCGAAUUCAGGAAGCCAUUGUUGGAACUUGGAAGGAGUAAAAGAAGAUGAAAACGUAACGACGAAGAUUGGAGAUGCUGGAUCUCGGGGGGAAAAUGGGCUGCAAAUUCCAUUGGAAGCGAAGUAACGGGGACUUCGAGAUAUGGGUUGCAUAUGAAUCUCGGCCCAUUUUUCAAACCGCCCGAACCAAACUAAAUUCUAUAGGUUGAUUUUUUUUUUUUAAUAAACAACAAUAUUUUACAUUAUAGGGCUUCAAUUGGCAUAACAAGAUUUAAAGUUUCUAAUUUUUUUUUCAUUGCUCAUUUUUUGUUUUUCUUGUUCAUUGACUACUGUUUUUGUUUGCAAAACCCAUUUUUCGGUAAAUGAAUAUGACUCAACAACUUAAACUGAGUUAAUGGGGACUGUAAGAUCAAAUCAAAUUGUCAAAUAUGUGUUGACACUAAGUCAUAUAUUUGACCGCAGUGAGUUCAUGUAGUUACGAAUAAAAAUUGUAUCUUGUAAUUGAUAAACCUAAUAAUUCUACAGGUUAUCCACGUCAGCAAUCCUUGUCAACUCAGCAACCACAGUCCGCAAUAUAUGGUUCUCACUCAACCACUCCAACACAGAGUUUGGAUAACACACAAUGUCCUCAACAGAUUGAGAAGGAUCAUAGUCCUCCUUAAACAUGACUCUAUCAUCAUAGUGUACCUUAGCUUUCUGUUAUGUAUUUUUGUAAUUUGAAUUCGAUUGUAAUUCUGAUACCAGAUUCAUUGUAAUCUUGUAAAGCCUAUAUAAUGAAGUACAUGACUCACUCAUAAUUAAUUGAGUUGAGCUUAUGCAAUUGAUUAUUUCAACCCUAGCUUGAAUUCUUUCAUGGUAUCUCAGAGCUAAAGUCUCACCACAAAAACAAAUUUUUUUUUUUUCAUGGCGUCCUCUUCUUCUCCCUUACCUAAUGCCUCCAAUUUUCUCACCCUUAAACUUGAUCGUACCAACUACCCUCUCUGGCAAGUUCAGAUGCUUCCUCUUCUCCGCAGUCGCAAUCUUGUCUCUUUUGUCGAUGGCACCAGUCAAUGCCCCCAGCAUUUCUGCAAGAUGCAGAUGGCAACAUCACUGACAAAGUCAAUCCUGACUUCGAAACCUGGAUUCAACAGGAUGCUACAUUUCUGUCCUGGAUUAAUUCUUUUGUUCACCCCACUGUCCUUGCUGCUUUAAUUGGGAAAACCAGUUCUCACUCUGCUUAGACAACCUUCCGUGACCGCUAUGCCUCUCAGUCAACCGGCCGUCUUCUUCAGCUUCACAGUGAGUUGAUGAAUACUCACAGAGGUGAUUCCUCCAUUUCUGAAUUUUUAGAUAAAAUCAAUUGUCUAGCAGAGACUCUCUCUCUCUGGUGCUCCUGUUUCAGACUCCGACAUUGUCGCCAUCAUCCUUAACAAUGUUGGUCCUGUUUAUGAGAGCAUGGUUGCCUCCGCUCAAGCUCGUGACGAGGCCAUCACCUACAGUGCUUUGGAAGCACUCCUCAUUGGCGCUGAAAGAAGACAGAAAUUGCGUUUUGCUUUUACUACUGACACCGACCCAACUGCCUUUGCUGCAGUUCACAAUGGUGGUCGUUCAUCUCCCAGUUUUUGCGGUCGUGGCUCAUCUUCUACAUUCCGAGGUCGCAACAGUCCCACUGGUGGUCGUUGGUCCUCUUCUCGGCCAUGCAACUCCCCAGGUUCUCAUCAUGGAUCUCACCAACAUUCUCACUCUCGCCAACCUGAUGGUCUUCUUGGUCAAUCUCCAAGUUCUUUUCCUACUGGUCGGAUCCAAUGCCAAAUUUGUAACAUACAUGGUCAUUCGGCAAUCGGCUAUUUCAACCGUCUCAACCUGUCUUAUGAAGGGCGUGUUCCAGCGCCAAAACUUCAAGCCUAUACUGCUGGUGUUCCCCCUGCCUCUGCUAGUGCUCCAGCUCUCCAGAAUUGGCUUUUCGACUCUGGUGCCAAUGCCCACAUCACCAAUAAUCCAGCUCAGGUGUUUAAUCCUUGUCCUUACCAUGGUACUGACCAAGUCAAUGGUGUAGUAGGUGGAACAGGUUUGCACAUCUCUCAUAUUGGAAACUCUUGCAUUCGCACACCCAAAGCCAUUUUUAAAUUACCCAACACACUAUUUUGCCCUACUGCAUCCACCAAUGUCAUAUCCAUUCAUAAAUGUACCACUGACAACAACUGUUCCCUAACCUUAUAUCCAAAUUCCUAUGGUGUUCAGGAUCUUCACAUGGGGAAGACACUUUUCCAAGGCCCGAGUAGAGAUGAUUUCUACCCUUUUUCCAGUAUUUCAUCAUGCAAUAAAGGAGUCUCUACAUUCAUAGGUGCUAGGGUGUCCAAUCAUGUUUGGCACUCUAGAUUAGGUCAUCCAUCAACUCAUGUUUUGAAUUCUUUAAUUUUCAAGAAUAAGUUACCCGUGAAUGGUGUUGUAACUAGUGACUUUUGUCACUCCUGUCCACUCGGCAAGAGUCACAAGUUACCCUUUACUUUGUCUAGUUCUAGGUCAACUUUUCCUUUACAAUUAAUUCAUUCGGGUGUAUGGACUUCUCCCUAUGUUUCAAUCAAUGGAUUUAAGUAUUAUGUAGUAUUUAUUGAUGACUUUUCUAGAUACUCCUGGUUAUAUCCAUUAAAACUAAAAUCAGAUGUUUUUUCUACCUUUGUAAAUUUUAAAAAAUUAGUUGAAAACAUGUUUAGCACCACAAUCAAAUCCUUUCAAACCGAUGGUGGCAGUGAAUAUAUUAAUAAUAAUUUCAAAACUUUUUUUACUUAUCAUGGUAUAUAUCAUCGUUUCACAUGUCCUCAUCAUCCCAAACAAAAUGGUAUUUUCAGAAUGUAAACAUCGUCAUAUUGUUGAAACCGAUCUUACUCUUCUUGCUCACGCAUCUUUACCCACUUCCUUUUGGGAUGAUGCUUUUCAUACUGCAACUUAUUUAAUCAAUCAGUUACCCACUAAGGUCUUGAAUGAUGAGUCCCCAUUUCAAAAACUCUUUCUCAAAACUCCUCAUUAUGAUAUUCUUCUUAAAAUAUUUGGCUGUGCAUGUUUCCCAUAUCUUAAGCCAUACAACUCCAAUAAAUUACAGUUCCGUUCUACCCGUUGUGUGUCUUUCUUCUUGGUUACUCAUUAAAUCAACAAGGUUAGAGCAACUUCACCCUUGGAGCCCUUCCCCCUGGCAAUCCACUAUUGAAUCCACCAUAUUGAACAGUAACUGCCUUUAAUGAAUAGUAACUACCUUUAAUGAACAGUAAUUAUCUUUUGCAUCUCCACACUUGGAACUCUCCCCCUGACAAUAAGUAAUAAAAUAUUAGUUUUUUUUUGUUUGUUUAAAUAAUAUAAAAUAAAAAAAACAUGGAAAUGGGGCUGCAGGCCCUCGGGCUGACACAAAAAAAAAUAAAAAAAAAUGCUUAGCCCUCGGGCUGCAGGCCUGUCAAUUCCCCACCCCCCUUGUGCUCGGGCUCUCUAAGGCUGGAGGGUUGUCCACCUGGCCUCGGGCCCUUUCCUGGUGCCUGUCCCCCGAGCAAUCCACAAGGAUGGACUUGCUCUUAUAAGUGUCUAGAUAUGUCUACCGGUCCCGUCUUCUUGUCACGUCAUGUUCAUGUUGUCUUGAUGAAACUACUUUUCCCUAUAAAGAAACCACCUCUACUCCGUUUUCUUCUUCUCCCUCCUCACCUAACAUCAUAAUUAAUAUUGACCCCCCCAUGCCCACUUUUCAACCCAUGUCGCGUCUUCUUGUCACGUCAUGUUGUGAAACUAUUUUUUCCUAUAAAGAAACCACCUCUACUCCGUUUUUUCUUCUCCCUCCUCACCUAACAUCAUAAUUAAUAUUGACCCCCACCAUGCCCACUUUUCAACCCAUUUCCCCGACAUCACCUACACCUAUCUCUUCCAUCCCUAAUGCUACCCCAUGUCCUACGCCUACCCCACUUCCAUCACCUAUACCCAUUUCUGCCACCCCUAUUUCACCUCCAUCACAUCUUCCUGCCAAAACACUUCCCACUCCACCCGUCCCUUCUGCCAACCCCACGCCGUCCUCCUUCAAUCCUCCAGCUAAUAAUUCACCCUUAGAUCCCCUAGUAUCUCUCCACCCUGCGACUGCAAGUACAUCCACUACCAAAAGAAGAUUUAAAGUUUCAAAUUCUUUUUAUAAAUCUAAAACAUUGAUCUUCUAUCUUUUUACUUGUUCACUCAGUUACUGUCUGCAAUACCCGAUUACAACAACUGUUUUCUUCGAUGGCAUUGACUUUGAGCACCAAUAGAGCCUCGGCAUCUUUUCUUUUCAAUGAAUCAGCUCCUCGAUGGAAGUAUGAUGUGUUUUUGAGUUUCAGGGGUGUAGACACCCGCAAGGGUUUUGUAUCCCAUUUACACCAUGAAUUGUCCAAGUGCCAAGGAAUUACGACUUUCAUGGACGAUCGAGAGCUUCAAGGAGGAGCAAGUAUUCAUGUUGAGCUACCAAGUGCGAUCAAAGAAUCGCAUAUUGCAAUUGUUGUUCUCUCACCAAACUAUGCUUCUUCCAAAUGGUGCUUGGAUGAACUCACAACCAUUCUUCAAUGCAUGGAAGCCAGGAACUCAGUUCUGCCGGUCUUUUAUCAGACAGAUCCAUCUGACGUCGGAAAUCAACGGGGAUGUUUUGCCGAAGCCUUCGCGGAGCAUGAAGAAAAGUUGAUCAGUAUCGAAGGCAAAAAGAAGGUGCUCCAAUGGAAAGCUGAUCUAAAGCGAGUGUCCAAAAUUUGUGGUUGGACUUCGAAGGAAUCUAAGUAAGCAUGAACAACUUUAAUUUCCCAUGUCUUAGUAGAGUCAAAAUUGAAUGCUUCGUUUAUGUUUUUUCAAUGGUUAUUUUUAUUUAUACCAUGUAGGUGUGUGAAAGUGAGCUUAUACAAAAAUCGUUAAAAGUGUGUGGAGGAAAGUGCAAGCUACACUCCCGUUGUUAGAUUCCUCACAAAAAUUAGUUGGGGUUAAUUUUGGGCUUGGGCAACUAAGUUCUCUAUUAGCUCAUGAUGUCAAUGAUGUACGCUUUAUAGGGAUAACGGGGAUGGGUGGCAUAGGUAAGACAACCCUUGCUAAGCUUGUUUAUGAUAGAAUCUUUCAUCAUUUUGAAGUUCACUGCUUUCUCGGCAACCUUAGAGAGGUUUCUAAUGUUUGAUCUUCAAAAAGACUUCUUUUUCCCGGUGUUGAGGGAAAAGAUUGAAAGAAAUUUGGGAUGAAGAGCGCGAAAUCAUUUUCACUAAGAAGUGCUUGCGCAACAAAAAAGUUCUUCUUGUACUUGAUGAUGUGGAUCACAUAAACCAGCUACAAGUACUAGCUGGAAACGAAGAUUGGUUUGGCAUGGGAAGUAGAAUUAUCAUUACAACUAGAAAUGAACGUCUGCUAGUCCAGCAUGACAUAACAUUAUGUCAUAAUGUCAAAGUGUUAGAUAAAGGCGCAGCUCUUGCACUGUUUAGCCUUCAUGCCUUUUAAGAAAAAUCUGCCCGAGGAUGGGUUUUGGGAACUGUCAACGUAUUUCAUUAAUUAUGCUGGAGGCCUUCCAUUAGCUCUUGAAACUUUGGGGUCAGCAUUGUUUAAGAGAAGGCUAGACACUUGGAAUAGUGUGUGGGAUAAUCUGUCAAAAACUCCUAAUCCAGCAAUUUUUGAUAAACUUAAAAUAAGUUUAUGAUGGACUAGAAGAGAGUGGGAGAAGAGAAUUUUUCUCGACGUUGCAUGUUUCCACAAAGGGAAGUACACGAAUGAAGUAAUUAAAAUGCUAGAUAAUUCUCUUGGAAUCUCUAGUAGUAGUAUGAUAGAUGUACUAAUUGAGAGAUCUCUCAUCUAUCAAGAUCAUGAAAACUGCAUACGGAUGCAUGAUUUGAUUCAAGAAAUGGCAUGGACAGUUAUUGUUCAAGAGUCUAAGAGAGCCUGGUCAACGUAGUAGGUUGUGGCUUUACAAUGACAUUGAUCAUAUAUUCACGACGAAUACGGUAAAAAGUUAAAUACUAAGUUUGGAAGAAGAUAUGAUUUCUUUUGACACUAUAUUAUUAUAUGAAAUUAAUUCGUCAUUUUUUUUUCCUUUAACUGUUAGGGAACAGGAGCAAUUGAAGCCAUAUCCUUACGCCUGCUCAAAGUAGAAGAGGUACGCCAGUGGAAUUGCGAAGCCUUCUCAAAGAUGGAUGGACUGAGGUUUUGGAAUUCGAUAAUUUGAUAUUUUCUUCAGGCCCCAAAUUUCUUCCCAUGUUCCUUGAGAAUUAUAAAUUGGAGUUGGUAUCCUUCUAAUUUUCUUUCCAAACCAGCUUUCGCCCGCACUUGCUUGCUAAACUUGAGAUGCGUAAUAGCAAUCUUGUUCGUCUAUGGGAGGGAAAAUGGUAAGAGUAGUUAUGAACAAAAGAUAAUAUUGGUUACUCACUAGUUAAUACUCACUUUUUUGAUUUUGUCAAAUGAUAUUUUAACACAUAUUAUUUUUAAAAUAAUAGACGUGUUAUUUAAUUUUUCUGGAGUUUUAAAAUUAAGGAACGCUUGAUAUUUUUUUAUUGUACAAUUCCGAAGGUUCCAAAUUUCUUCAUAUUCAUUGAGAAUAAAUGUUAUUAUUAAUUUACAAAAUAAUCAUUUAUAUUAAUUUAUUAUUUUGAAUAAACUUUAAGGUUGUGGAAGCUAAGUAUAUGAUCUGAACCUUGUCGGGUGAUGUUGUGCAGGACUUACCCAACUUAAAACAUAUUGAUAUUAGCAACUCCUAUAAAUUGAAGAGUAUCUCAGAUUUCAGUGGUAUUCCAAAUCUUGAGAGGUUGAUCCUUUGGGAUUGUAAAAAUUUAGUUGAGAUACACCCGUCUAUUUGCAAUCCUCAAAAGACUUAAACAUUUGCUUCUUAAUGGCUGUUUUGAAAGCAUUAAUAGCCUCCCAAGUGAGGUUGAAAUGGAUUCUCUUGAGACUUUCGAUCUUGAUGGCUGCUCAAAUGUGAAAAAGAUUCCAGAAUUUGGGGAGCAGAUGAAGAAUGUAUGGCGGAUUCACUUAGAUGGGACUGCGAUCGAGAAAAUACCUUCAUCAAUUGGACAUCUGGUUGGCCUCAAGGAAAUUGCAAAAAUCUCUUGAACCUUCCAAGGGGCGAUUUGUAAUUUGAAGUCUCUUGGAUAUCUCAGUGCGAGUGGAUGCUCAAAGAUUGACCAACUCCCAGGAGACAUGGAUCACUUAGAGGCGCUUUGCUGGGACCCACUAUGACAGAGCCGCUUGUGAGCAUGAAAAAUCUCAAACGUCUAGUAUUUAAGACAAAUUCUAACAUAGCCGCUUGUGGAUCAGAUGGUAAAGCAAGGGAUGGGUGGGGCCUUCGCUGCUUAUUUGGACUUGAAAAGAGUCGCCCUGAUCCUUCUCCUUGUUGGCGUUUGGUGUUGUCUUCUCUAAAUCGUUUAUGCUCUUUGACAGAGUUAUCUCUAGAGAAUUGUAAUCUCCAGGGAGGGGAUAUCCCCGAUGAAUAUGGCUGCUUGUCCUUACUGGAGUAUUGUAUCUUAGUAGAAAAUAAUUUCGUCAGUCUACCUGAAAGCUUUAGACGCCUUUCUAAACUUUUCAGUCUUGAUCUAGAGGGGUGUAUAAGCCUUCAAAAAUUGCCUCCUCUUCCAUCAAACAGAGGACUAAGAGUAAAUCUGGACAAUUGCACUUCCUUACAAAGGUUGUCAGGUCCAUCCAGUUUUUUAUGGUGAUUAUGUCACUUGCCGGAAUUGCAUUGCAUUGGUUCAAGAUGACGACUGAUUCAAUUAGGAUUCUAAUAUUUNNNNNNNNNNNNNNNNNNNNNNNNNNNNNNNNNNNNNNNNNNNNNNNNNNNNNNNNNNNNNNNNNNNNNNNNNNNNNNNNNNNNNNNNNNNNNNNNNNNNNNNNNNNNNNNNNNNNNNNNNNNNNNNNNNNNNNNNNNNNNNNNNNNNNNNNNNNNNNNNNNNNNNNNNNNNNNNNNNNNNNNNNNNNNNNNNNNNNNNNNNNNNNNNNNNNNNNNNNNNNNNNNNNNNNNNNNNNNNNNNNNNNNNNNNNNNNNNNNNNNNNNNNNNNNNNNNNNNNNNNNNNNNNNNNNNNNNNNNNNNNNNNNNNNNNNNNNNNNNNNNNNNNNNNNNNNNNNNNNNNNNNNNNNNNNNNNNNNNNNNNNNNNNNNNNNNNNNNNNNNNNNNNNNNNNNNNNNNNNNNNNNNNNNNNNNNNNNNNNNNNNNNNNNNNNNNNNNNNNNNNNNNNNNNNNNNNNNNNNNNNNNNNNNNNNNNNNNNNNNNNNNNNNNNNNNNNNNNNNNAGCACCUGUCACAUGCACACUCAGCUUUGCUGAAUUACGGGCAUUCUGUUGAAGAUUUCUGGUGAAGUGAAAAGCAAGUGAAUCUUACUGUUCAAUCAUCCACUUUUCACACGCACCAUCAGCUCAUGGGUACCACAGAUAACUUUGCCAAAGAUCUCUGACAAAGUUUAUACACGUGAAGCUUGCAGCUCCCACUACAUCGCUAUGACCAAGAAGGGUAAAAGAAUAGCAAAGAAACAACACUAACAAAGUUUAGACACAUAAAUUUUGAAGGUCUAGCUAUCAUAUUAUUACCCACAAGGGUAAAGGAACAGCACCACUGCUGGAUAAUUGGAAAGUCCUUGUGUGUCAACCUCUGUGCUCCGUGGCAAGGUAGAAUAGCAAACAUGCCCUACCUUUACUCACAUUCGAGAAAAACACUCCCAACAAGAUUGCUUGCUCCAAAAUCGAAGAAGGCACCGUCCUCCGACUCUCGAGAGCCAGACUCUCAUCACAUGAUUACUUUCUCAAAAAUCGAAGAGAAGACACCUACUCUCUCAUCGAAAUCUCGAGAGCCAGACUCCCAGCAUGAUUGCUCUCUCAAUCAAAAAUCGAAGAGGCAUCGUUCUUCUCCGAAUCUCGAGAGCCAGAUCCCCGACAGGAUUGCUUGUUCGAAAACCGAAGAGGCACCGCUUUCUCAACUUCGAGAGCCAGAUCUCCUUGGAUAAAGCUUGUCUGUAAUCUUCACGCAACAUCAGCUUUUCAGAUACCACAGACCACUUUUUCAAAGUGCUCUGACACACGUGAAGCUGGCAGCUCCCACUACCGUGCUAUGACUAAGCAGGGUAAAGGAAUAGCAUUACUACUUGUUGUUAGGGAGACUCCUAUAUAUGUCGACCUUCAUCCUCAACGGACAGGCAAACCUGCAAAAAUGCUCGACCCUUCCUCAUAUCUGAGAGGGCACUCCCGACGAAGCCUCUCAAAAUACUCAGCUUUCUUUCCCCCCGAUAAUACCUCUGCAACAAGCUACACCAGAGCAAGAAUAUCUAAUAUCAUCAGGGUUAAAAGCAAGAGUAUCCCAUAUCAUGCUUUUUCCUUGUCUUUUCCUUUGGCCUUGUUCUUACCUGCAAGACAAGGAGAAAGAGAGCAAUCAGUCAGCAUUUGGAAUCAAGCUUCCAGUCAGGAACUGACUGCCUGGAACCCCUUACCUGAUUACUUACCUGGCAUUGCUCUCGAGUACUCAUCUUCAACAUCUUAUGCUUCCAGAGAAGACACCACAUCUGCCUAAGAAACCGAUAGGGAAAGUGAAAAGGAUACAAGGAAACAUGUGGAGACAAGCGUAACAGAACACGUGCCGAUACAUCCACUACUUUGUCAACAGCAAAAGUAUCCCAUAUCAGCACGGUCGAACGUACUCUAGAUUUGAUGGACUUGUUUUGACCCUCAAAUUCUUCAGUCGGCCUUAUACUUUGGAGGAAACCAGAAAACCCUCCAGCCCAGUUCAAGAAUAAGCCUAUGGAAAGUUACUUCUUCAAAAGCAAAAGUAACUCAUAUCAUCUAUUCUCCUUUUCUUCUCUUUAUCCGCUGCCUGCAAGAUAGGGAGAAUGAGAACAAUCAGCCGGAACUCGAAAUCAAACUUCUGAUCUGGGACUAAUUGCUUGGAGCUCUGAUUGCUUACCUUGUUUAUCACCUCUUUCAGCAGAUCCCCUUGCUCGGCGACUUGGGGGACUCCUACUACAUGGUUUGUAUCGCGCUUGACCAAGCCUGAAACUACAAGUAAGCUUCAAGUGAAAUUGAUACAUUACCUUGUGCAUCUCCACCAGUUAAAGAUACCACCCCUGGAUGGAGGAAGAGUACUUAGAAGUUUCGUGAUUACGAGAUCAUUCUCCCACAAUAUUUCCUAAUGUCACUUGUACUCAAUCAUUCAUUUGUACUCACUAAAGGAGAGCUUGAACCUAUGUACUUGUGUAAACCCUUCACAAUUAAUGAGAACUCAUUUACUCCGUGGACGUAGCCAAUCUGGGUGAACCACGUACAUCUUAUGUUUGCUUUCCUGUCUCUAUCCAUUUACAUACUUAUCCACACUAAUGACCAGAGCAAUAACUUAAUACUUUCUGUUGUACCAAAGUCCUCACUGAUUUUGUGCAUCAACAAUCCUUAAGUCCUUAACCUUUUGCGUUGGUAAUGGAUGAGUUAACAGGACAUAUUCAAGAUGAUAUUUCUUGGUGUAUGCUUCUCGCAAAUGAUAUAGUGUUGAUAGAUGAAACUCAGGAGGGGUAAAUGCGAAGCUUAACCUUUGGAGAGAAGUGUUGGAAUCUAAAGGUCUUCGCCUAAGCCGAUCAAAGACAGAAUAUAUGGAGUGCAAGUUCAGUGCAAAUGGAGGCCAAAAUGAGUUAGAGGCGAGGAUCGGAGAUCAGGUAAUACCAAAGAGCGACCGUUUUCGCUACCUAGGAUCUAUCUUGCAAAAGAACGGAGAAUUAGAUGAAGAUCUCAACCAUAGAAUACAAGCUGGAUGGAUGAAGUGGAAUAGUGCAUCCGGCAUGUUGUGUGACCAUCGUAGGCCACUGAAGCUUAAGAGAAAAUUUUAUAGAACGGCAAUAAGGCCGGCGAUGCUGUAUGGCACAGAAUGUUGGGCGGUGAAGCAUCAACACGUACACAAAAUGGGUUGGACAUGUGCAAAGAAGGCCUACUGACGCUCCGGUUCGAAGAUGUGACUACGGGAUAGAGGUUCAGGGCCGAAGGGGUAGAGGAAGACCUAGGAAAACUUUGGAAGAGACCCUAAGAAAAGACUUAGAGUACUUGGAUCUAACGGAGGACAUGACACAAAACCGAGCGCAAUGGCAUUCUAGGAUUCAUAUAGCCGACCCCACUUAGUGAGAAAAGGCUUUGUUGUUGUUGUUGUUGUUGUACUUAUACAUUAUAAUCUUUGUCAUGUUACAGCUUCUCAGUUUCAUUAUAAGUUUCUUGUGGUCUCGUAGCAGUUUCCUUUAUUCUUUCCAUACAAGAUCAGAGAAAAAGUAACAAAAAAUUGUGACUAAAACUGCCCUCAAAACACAUACAAUUGAUAGAGUCUGUCCUUUCUCAGGGACAAGUAACAUAAUUGAACUAGCGGAAUGAAUAAAACUUUUCUAAAGAGUGCAGAUGGAUAUUCUCCAACACCAGAAUCAACUCAAUUCGGUGGUAAACAGGUAUUGCACCCUUCUGGAUUCAAAGGUGCAAUAAGCUAGAAGCUACAUCGCACUUUUUUAACUUCCACUAAUAAGAAAUCAAUGUAAUUAAGUUUCUGACCCUUAUUCAGCGUUAUUGUUGCAAAAAGAUUUUCUGGUACUGGUGCCUGAAUCCUUAUUACACAGCUCUAUGGUUAAUUUCAGUUUCAAGCAGCUGCAAGGACUAAUUUGUGCUAAUCUUGAAGGAAUCAAAGCAUGUUCCUGUUCUUUUGAAUCAUAACUUUUUCUGGGUUAUGGAACAAAUAUAAUUUCCACGUUAUUAUUUUUUUCAAAAAAAAAAAUUCUACGUUAUUAUUAUUUACAGAAGGGAAGGGGGGACGCUAACGCAUUUUCCUUCAAAAAUCCUGCCAUGUUCCAAAAAAUUGAUUGUAUACAGGAAGGAUUAAAAUUUCAGGAUUCAAAAGUUUUUACCAAAUGGCGGCUUCAGGCUCUUCCACCCCGGGCUAAGCAGAAAUUGUUACUACCCACUACAGGCAAUAAUACAUCAAACAUUACCAACUUCAUAAGAUGUGAGUCAAGAUGUUAUUCUAAUAAAUAAAACUAAAGCGACAAAAACAAAGAGGAAACUUCAGUGAAACGAUUACCAGCGGAACCCUAUUCACACUCUUCUCUAUUCACAUUUUCGGUAAACAUAUAAUUAUAUCAAAUUAGAUUAUAUAAUUCUUGUUAAGCUACUAAGCUUCAACUUUAGUGAUAAAUACCGCGUCUGAGACUCCUUCUCUUCAAACAAUUGCCUGCCGGAACCAGCGCGAGGACCAAAUUCGAAACCUAUCAACAUUUAAUUUACAAUUAGCUAAAUUCUUAAUGCUUAAAGAUUUAGUUUCCUUUUCUAGUAGCGCUAAUCCACCUAAAAUGUAAAGAAUUUAAGGAAGCAAUAGGCAUGAUAAUCUAUCUGAUCAUAAUUAACUACCGUUUGGUACCUGAAAUAUCAAAGGAAAAUUUUUCAAUUUACUUCUUGUUCUUGUAAUCUCAGUUUUUCAACUCCCAAAGAACUAAAUGCACACACAUGAAUAUAGAAUGCAUACAAAUACAAGGACGGAGCUACCAUGGGCCUAGGGGGGCGGAUGCCCCCAUUGAGAUUUUUCUGACGCUGGGAUGCUGCUCAAAUUGAGCUGGGUUUGCAGCAGCAAAGCCCCCACUGAACUCAUCUGGUUCUGCUCUCCGACCUGGUUCUGCAGAAGCAGAGCUGGGUCUUAUAUUUUUUUUUUUUUAAAUCCAGGCCAAAACGACGUCGUUUUGGUCCUGGUACAAAAAAAAAUAAAUGAAACAGCGUCGUUUCGUAUAUGUUAACAAAAAAGAAAGUAUGUUAAAGGUGGACUGUGGGGACAAGCGGUCCCCCCUUUAAUCUCUAACCCCAUUCCCUGAUUCCUUCCCAUCUCUCUGUUCCUUUUUAUUUCCCUUGCCAAACAGAGAGCAGCGUGGUGCUACUCUCUUUCCCCAAAUUCCCAACAUCUUGAAACUGAACAGAACAGGAGCAAGGUGUUGUUCCCAGCCACGCCAACAGUUAGCCACUCCAGCCAGCUACUCUCUAGCCGACAUAUAUAUAUUUAUGGUAAAAUUCUUAAUUCCUAAAUCUAUAAUCCCUAACCCUAAUUAAUUAUUUAAGACGUUGGGAAAGGCAAAAAUCAAGAAACUACUUUGAAACGUGCUGGAGAAACACGUUGGGGUUCACACUUUGGUACUUUAGUAAGUAUCAUGACUAUGUUUUCAUCCAUACUUGAUGUACUUGAAGUAAUAGCAGAUGAUGGAGUAAGCUCUCAACAAAGAUGUGAAGCAAAUAAUUUAUUGGAUUCCAUGCAAUCAUUUAAUUUUGUGUUUAAUCUACACUUGAUGAAAGAUAUACUAGGAAUAACCAAUGAAUUGUCACAAGCAUUGCAAAGGAAGGAUCAGGAUAUUGUAAAUGCAAUGAAGUUGGUUGGAGUUUGUAAGCAAAGGUUGGAGAUAAUGAGGAAAAGUGGUUGGGAUUCUUUUACUUAGUGAAGUCUCAGAAUUUUGUCUUAAACAUGAUAUUGAUGUGCCUAAUAUGGAUGAUAUGUUUCUUUCUCGAAGGCGAGGGCAACGAAAAGCACAAGCAGUCAUAAAUAUGCAUCAUUAUUGUGUUGGGAUAUUUUAUGUUGUUUUGGAUUGGCAGCUUCAAGAACUAAAUAAUCGUUUCAAUGAGAGACCAACACUGAGUUACUUCUUUGUUUGGCAUGUUUAUAUGUCCAGCCGACUCCUUCUCUGCUUUUGAUAGCCAAAAGCUAUUGCGUCUUGCCCAGUUUUAUCCUAAAGACUUCUCUAUGAAUGAGCUGGUGAUACUUAAGAUUCAACUUGAGACUUACAUUAUGGAUAUGCGGUCUAGCAUUGAGUUUUCAAGUUUAAAAGAGAUUGGAGAUCUUGCAAAAAACAUGGUUCAAUGCAAAAAACACAAGGUGUAUUCGCUGGUUUACUUGUUUGUGACAUUAGCACUAACUCUUCCAGUUGCUACUGCAACCGUUGAAAAAGCAUUUUCGGCCAUGAAAAAUUCUGAAGAAUCGAUUGAGAAAUCGAAUGGGAGAUCAAUGGAUGAAUGAUAACAUGGUUAUUUUUAUAGAGAGAGAGAGAUAUUUAAUGGUAUUGGUAAUGAUGUUGUCAUGCAACGCUUUCAGAACAUGAAAACACGUCGAGGGAUAUUGUAAGGGACUGUUGUAUGAAAAACUUUUUGGAUUAAUAUAUAAGUAUUGUGUUUAGUAAAUUCUUGAGCUUUUUAAUUAUGACUUUGUUGUUUGAGGAUGACCCCAUUCACACACAGUUCUGGCUUCGUCCCUGUACAAAUAUGUAUGUAUGUGUGUGUGUGUGUGUGUGUGUGUGUGUGUGUGUGUGUAUGACAGAUGAGGAGACGGGGACCUGGAGGGUAGGAACUGUGAAGGCCGCCUCUAGCGGUGGCAGGACGAAGAAAAGAGGAGAAGCCUGAGAGAGAGGAACAGGAUGGAAAGAGCAAGCUUCAUGAUGUGAUCUUUGGAUUGACGAUGGUGGCGAUGGAGCUCCAGAAUCGAAUUCAGGAAGCCAUUGUUGGAACUUGGAAGGAGUAAAAGAAGAUGAAAACGUAACGACGAAGAUUGGAGAUGCUGGAUCUCGGGGGAAAAUGGGCUGCAAAUUCCAUUGGAAGCGAAGUAACGGGGACUUCGAGAUAUGGGUUGCAUAUGAAUCUCGGCCCAUUUUUCAAACCGCCCGAACCAAACUAAAUUCUAUAGGUUGAUUUUUUUUUUUUAAUAAACAACAAUAUUUUACAUUAUAGGGCUUCAAUUGGCAUAACAAGAUUUAAAGUUUCUAAUUUUUUUUUCAUUGCUCAUUUUUUGUUUUUCUUGUUCAUUGACUACUGUUUUUGUUUGCAAAACCCAUUUUUCGGUAAAUGAAUAUGACUCAACAACUUAAACUGAGUUAAUGGGGACUGUAAGAUCAAAUCAAAUUGUCAAAUAUGUGUUGACACUAAGUCAUAUAUUUGACCGCAGUGAGUUCAUGUAGUUACGAAUAAAAAUUGUAUCUUGUAAUUGAUAAACCUAAUAAUUCUACAGGUUAUCCACGUCAGCAAUCCUUGUCAACUCAGCAACCACAGUCCGCAAUAUAUGGUUCUCACUCAACCACUCCAACACAGAGUUUGGAUAACACACAAUGUCCUCAACAGAUUGAGAAGGAUCAUAGUCCUCCUUAAACAUGACUCUAUCAUCAUAGUGUACCUUAGCUUUCUGUUAUGUAUUUUUGUAAUUUGAAUUCGAUUGUAAUUCUGAUACCAGAUUCAUUGUAAUCUUGUAAAGCCUAUAUAAUGAAGUACAUGACUCACUCAUAAUUAAUUGAGUUGAGCUUAUGCAAUUGAUUAUUUCAACCCUAGCUUGAAUUCUUUCAUGGUAUCUCAGAGCUAAAGUCUCACCACAAAACAAAUUUUUUUUUUUUCAUGGCGUCCUCUUCUUCUCCCUUACCUAAUGCCUCCAAUUUUCUCACCCUUAAACUUGAUCGUACCAACUACCCUCUCUGGCAAGUUCAGAUGCUUCCUCUUCUCCGCAGUCGCAAUCUUGUCUCUUUUGUCGAUGGCACCAGUCAAUGCCCCCCAGCAUUUCUGCAAGAUGCAGAUGGCAACAUCACUGACAAAGUCAAUCCUGACUUCGAAACCUGGAUUCAACAGGAUGCUACAUUUCUGUCCUGGAUUAAUUCUUUUGUUCACCCCACUGUCCUUGCUGCUUUAAUUGGGAAAACCAGUUCUCACUCUGCUUAGACAACCUUCCGUGACCGCUAUGCCUCUCAGUCAACCGGCCGUCUUCUUCAGCUUCACAGUGAGUUGAUGAAUACUCACAGAGGUGAUUCCUCCAUUUCUGAAUUUUUAGAUAAAAUCAAUUGUCUAGCAGAGACUCUCUCUCUCUGGUGCUCCUGUUUCAGACUCCGACAUUGUCGCCAUCAUCCUUAACAAUGUUGGUCCUGUUUAUGAGAGCAUGGUUGCCUCCGCUCAAGCUCGUGACGAGGCCAUCACCUACAGUGCUUUGGAAGCACUCCUCAUUGGCGCUGAAAGAAGACAGAAAUUGCGUUUUGCUUUUACUACUGACACCGACCCAACUGCCUUUGCUGCAGUUCACAAUGGUGGUCGUUCAUCUCUCCCAGUUUUUGCGGUCGUGGCUCAUCUUCUACAUUCCGAGGUCGCAACAGUCCCACUGGUGGUCGUUGGUCCUCUUCUCGGCCAUGCAACUCCCCAGGUUCUCAUCAUGGAUCUCACCAACAUUCUCACUCUCGCCAACCUGAUGGUCUUCUUGGUCAAUCUCCAAGUUCUUUUCCUACUGGUCGGAUCCAAUGCCAAAUUUGUAACAUACAUGGUCAUUCGGCAAUCGGCUAUUUCAACCGUCUCAACCUGUCUUAUGAAGGGCGUGUUCCAGCGCCAAAACUUCAAGCCUAUACUGCUGGUGUUCCCCCUGCCUCUGCUAGUGCUCCAGCUCUCCAGAAUUGGCUUUUCGACUCUGGUGCCAAUGCCCACAUCACCAAUAAUCCAGCUCAGGUGUUUAAUCCUUGUCCUUACCAUGGUACUGACCAAGUCAAUGGUGUAGUAGGUGGAACAGGUUUGCACAUCUCUCAUAUUGGAAACUCUUGCAUUCGCACACCCAAAGCCAUUUUUAAAUUACCCAACACACUAUUUUGCCCUACUGCAUCCACCAAUGUCAUAUCCAUUCAUAAAUGUACCACUGACAACAACUGUUCCCUAACCUUAUAUCCAAAUUCCUAUGGUGUUCAGGAUCUUCACAUGGGGAAGACACUUUUCCAAGGCCCGAGUAGAGAUGAUUUCUACCCUUUUUCCAGUAUUUCAUCAUGCAAUAAAGGAGUCUCUACAUUCAUAGGUGCUAGGGUGUCCAAUCAUGUUUGGCACUCUAGAUUAGGUCAUCCAUCAACUCAUGUUUUGAAUUCUUUAAUUUUCAAGAAUAAGUUACCCGUGAAUGGUGUUGUAACUAGUGACUUUUGUCACUCCUGUCCACUCGGCAAGAGUCACAAGUUACCCUUUACUUUGUCUAGUUCUAGGUCAACUUUUCCUUUACAAUUAAUUCAUUCGGGUGUAUGGACUUCUCCCUAUGUUUCAAUCAAUGGAUUUAAGUAUUAUGUAGUAUUUAUUGAUGACUUUUCUAGAUACUCCUGGUUAUAUCCAUUAAAACUAAAAUCAGAUGUUUUUUCUACCUUUGUAAAUUUUAAAAAAUUAGUUGAAAACAUGUUUAGCACCACAAUCAAAUCCUUUCAAACCGAUGGUGGCAGUGAAUAUAUUAAUAAUAAUUUCAAAACUUUUUUUACUUAUCAUGGUAUAUAUCAUCGUUUCACAUGUCCUCAUCAUCCCAAACAAAAUGGUAUUUCAGAAUGUAAACAUCGUCAUAUUGUUGAAACCGAUCUUACUCUUCUUGCUCACGCAUCUUUACCCACUUCCUUUUGGGAUGAUGCUUUUCAUACUGCAACUUAUUUAAUCAAUCAGUUACCCACUAAGGUCUUGAAUGAUGAGUCCCCAUUUCAAAAACUCUUUCUCAAAACUCCUCAUUAUGAUAUUCUUAAAAUAUUUGGCUGUGCAUGUUUCCCAUAUCUUAAGCCAUACAACUCCAAUAAAUUACAGUUCCGUUCUACCCGUUGUGUCUUUCUUGGUUACUCAUUAAAUCAACAAGGUUAGAGCAACUUCACCCUUGGAGCCCUUCCCCCUGGCAAUCCACUAUUGAAUCCACCAUAUUGAACAGUAACUGCCUUUAAUGAAUAGUAACUACCUUUAAUGAACAGUAAUUAUCUUUUGCAUCUCCACACUUGGAACUCUCCCCCUGACAAUAAGUAAUAAAAUAUUAGUUUUUUUUGUUUGUUUAAAUAAUAUAAAAUAAAAAAACAUGGAAAUGGGGCUGCAGGCCCUCGGGCUGACACAAAAAAAAUAAAAAAAAUGCUUAGCCCUCGGGCUGCAGGCCUGUCAAUUCCCCACCCCCCUUGUGCUCGGGCUCUCUAAGGCUGGAGGGUUGUCCACCUGGCCUCGGGCCCUUUCCUGGUGCCUGUCCCCCGAGCAAUCCACAAGGAUGGACUUGCUCUUAUAAGUGUCUAGAUAUGUCUACCGGUCCCGUCUUCUUGUCACGUCAUGUUGUCUUUGAUGAAACUACUUUUCCCUAUAAAGAAACCACCUCUACUCCGUUUUCUUCUUCUCCCUCCUUACCUAACAUCAUAAUUAAUAUUGACCCCCCCCAUGCCCACUUUUCAACCCAUGUCGCGUCUUCUUGUCACGUCAUGUUGUGAAACUAUUUUUUCCUAUAAAGAAACCACCUCUACUCCGUUUUCUUCUUCUCCCUCCUCACCUAACAUCAUAAUUAUUAUUGACCCCCACCAUGCCCACUUUUCAACCCAUUUCCCCGACAUCACCUACACCUAUCUCUUCCAUCCCUAAUGCUACCCCAUGUCCUACGCCUACACCACUUCCAUCACCUAUACCCAUUUCUGCCACCCCUAUUUCACCUCCAUCACAUCUUCCUGCCAAAACACUUCCCACUCCACCCGUCCCUUCUGCCAACCCCACGCCGUCCUCCUUCAAUCCUCCAGCUAAUAAUUCACCCUUAGAUCCCCUAGUAUCUCUCCACCCUGCGACUGCAAGUACAUCCACUACCAAAAGAAGAUUUAAAGUUUCAAAUUCUUUUUAUAAAUCUAAAACAUUGAUCUUCUAUCUUUUUACUUGUUCACUCAGUUACUGUCUGCAAUACCCGAUUACAACAACUGUUUUCUUCGAUGGCAUUGACUUUGAGCACCAAUAGAGCCUCGGCAUCUUUUCUUUUCAAUGAAUCAGCUCCUCGAUGGAAGUAUGAUGUGUUUUUGAGUUUCAGGGGUGUAGACACCCGCAAGGGUUUUGUAUCCCAUUUACACCAUGAAUUGUCCAAGUGCCAAGGAAUUACGACUUUCAUGGACGAUCGAGAGCUUCAAGGAGGAGCAAGUAUUCAUGUUGAGCUACCAAGUGCGAUCAAAGAAUCGCAUAUUGCAAUUGUUGUUCUCUCACCAAACUAUGCUUCUUCCAAAUGGUGCUUGGAUGAACUCACAACCAUUCUUCAAUGCAUGGAAGCCAGGAACUCAGUUCUCUGCCGGUCUUUUAUCAGACAGAUCCAUCUGACGUCGGAAAUCAACGGGGAUGUUUUGCCGAAGCCUUCGCGGAGCAUGAAGAAAAGUUGAUCAGUAUCGAAGGCAAAAAGAAGGUGCUCCAAUGGAAAGCUGAUCUAAAGCGAGUGUCCAAAAUUUGUGGUUGGACUUCGAAGGAAUCUAAGUAAGCAUGAACAACUUUAAUUUCCCAUGUCUUAGUAGAGUCAAAAUUGAAUGCUUCGUUUAUGUUUUUUCAAUGGUUAUUUUAUACCAUGUAGGUGUGAAAGUGAGCUUAUACAAAAAAUCGUUAAAAGUGUGUGGAGGAAAGUGCAAGCUACACUCCCGUUGUUAGAUUCCUCACAAAAAUUAGUUGGGGUUAAUUUUGGGCUUGGGCAACUAAGUUCUCUAUUAGCUCAUGAUGUCAAUGAUGUACGCUUUAUAGGGAUAACGGGGAUGGGUGGCAUAGGUAAGACAACCCUUGCUAAGCUUGUUUAUGAUAGAAUCUUUCAUCAUUUUGAAGUUCACUGCUUUCUCGGCAACCUUAGAGAGGUUUCUAAUGUUGAUCUUCAAAAAAGACUUCUUUUCCCGGUGUUGAGGGAAAAGAUUGAAGAAAUUUGGGAUGAAGAGCGCGAAAUCAUUUUCACUAAGAAGUGCUUGCGCAACAAAAAAGUUCUUCUUGUACUUGAUGAUGUGGAUCACAUAAACCAGCUACAAGUACUAGCUGGAAACGAAGAUUGGUUUGGCAUGGGAAGUAGAAUUAUCAUUACAACUAGAAAUGAACGUCUGCUAGUCCAGCAUGACAUAACAUUAUGUCAUAAUGUCAAAGUGUUAGAUAAAGGCGCAGCUCUUGCACUGUUUAGCCUUCAUGCCUUUAAGAAAAAUCUGCCCGAGGAUGGGUUUUGGGAACUGUCAACGUAUUUCAUUAAUUAUGCUGGAGGCCUUCCAUUAGCUCUUGAAACUUUGGGGUCAGCAUUGUUUAAGAGAAGGCUAGACACUUGGAAUAGUGUGUGGGAUAAUCUGUCAAAAACUCCUAAUCCAGCAAUUUUUGAUAAACUUAAAAUAAGUUAUGAUGGACUAGAAGAGUGGGAGAAGAGAAUUUUUCUCGACGUUGCAUGUUUCCACAAAGGGAAGUACACGAAUGAAGUAAUUAAAAUGCUAGAUAAUUCUCUUGGAAUCUCUAGUAGUAGUAUGAUAGAUGUACUAAUUGAGAGAUCUCUCAUCUAUCAAGAUCAUGAAAACUGCAUACGGAUGCAUGAUUUGAUUCAAGAAAUGGCAUGGACAGUUAUUGUUCAAGAGUCUAAAGAGCCUGGUCAACGUAGUAGGUUGUGGCUUUACAAUGACAUUGAUCAUAUAUUCACGACGAAUACGGUAAAAAGUUAAACUAAGUUUGGAAGAAGAUAUGAUUUCUUUUGACACUAUAUUAUUAUAUGAAAUUAAUUCGUCAUUUUUUCCUUUAACUGUUAGGGAACAGGAGCAAUUGAAGCCAUAUCCUUACGCCUGCUCAAAGUAGAAGAGGUACGCCAGUGGAAUUGCGAAGCCUUCUCAAAGAUGGAUGGACUGAGGUUUUUGGAAUUCGAUAAUUUGAUAUUUUCUUCAGGCCCCAAAUUUCUUCCAUGUUCCUUGAGAAUUAUAAAUUGGAGUUGGUAUCCUUCUAAUUUUCUUCCAACCAGCUUUCGCCCGCACUUGCUUGCUAAACUUGAGAUGCGUAAUAGCAAUCUUGUUCGUCUAUGGGAGGGAAAAUGGUAAGAGUAGUUAUGAACAAAAGAUAAUAUUGGUUACUCACUAGUUAAUACUCACUUUUUGAUUUUGUCAAAUGAUAUUUUAACACAUAUUAUUUUAAAAAAUAAUAGACGUGUUAUUUAAUUUUCUGGAGUUUUAAAAUUAAGGAACGCUUGAUAUUUUUUUAUUGUACAAUUCCGAAGGUUCCAAAUUUCUUCCAUAUUCAUUGAGAAUAAAUGUUAUUUAAUUUACAAAAUAAUCAUAUAUUUAUUUAUUAUUUUGAAUAAACUUUAAGGUUGUGGAAGCUAAGUAUAUGAUCUGAACCUUGUCGGUGAUGUUGUGCAGGACUUACCCAACUUAAAACAUAUUGAUAUUAGCAACUCCUAUAAAUUGAAGAGUAUCUCAGAUUUCAGUGGUAUUCCAAAUCUUGAGAGGUUGAUCCUUUGGGAUUGUAAAAAUUUAGUUGAGAUACACCCGUCUAUUGCAAUCCUCAAAAGACUUAAACAUUUGCUUCUUAAUGGCUGUGAAAGCAUUAAUAGCCUCCCAAGUGAGGUUGAAAUGGAUUCUCUUGAGACUUUCGAUCUUGAUGGCUGCUCAAAUGUGAAAAAGAUUCCAGAAUUUGGGGAGCAGAUGAAGAAUGUAUGGCGGAUUCACUUAGAUGGGACUGCGAUCGAGAAAAUACCUUCAUCAAUUGGACAUCUGGUUGGCCUCAAGGAAUUGCAAAAAUCUCUUGAACCUUCCAAGGGCGAUUUGUAAUUUGAAGUCUCUUGGAUAUCUCAGUGCGAGUGGAUGCUCAAAGAUUGACCAACUCCCAGGAGACAUGGAUCACUUAGAGGCGCUUUGCUGGGGACCCACUAUGACAGAGCCGCUUGUGAGCAUGAAAAAUCUCAAACGUCUAGUAUUUAAGACAAAUUCUAACAUAGCCGCUUGUGGAUCAGAUGGUAAAGCAAGGGAUGGGUGGGGCCUUCGCUGCUUAUUUGGACUUGAAAAGAGUCGCCCUGAUCCUUCUCCUUGUUGGCGUUUGGUGUUGUCUUCUCUAAAUCGUUUAUGCUCUUUGACAGAGUUAUCUCUAGAGAAUUGUAAUCUCCAGGAGGGGGAUAUCCCCGAUGAUAUUGGCUGCUUGUCCUUACUGGGAGUAUUGUAUCUUAGUAGAAAUAAUUUCGUCAGUCUACCUGAAAGCUUUAGACGCCUUUCUAAACUUUUCAGUCUUGAUCUAGAGGGGUGUAUAAGCCUUCAAAAAUUGCCUCCUCUUCCAUCAAACAGAGGACUAAGAGUAAAUCUGGACAAUUGCACUUCCUUACAAAGGUUGUCAGGUCCAUCCAGUUUUUAUGGUGAUUAUGUCACUUGCCGGAAUUGCAUUGCAUUGGUUCAAGAUGACGACUUGAUUAAUAGGAUUCUAAUAUUUGUCAUUGAGGUACUCUCUCUCUCUCUCUCUCUCUCUCUCUCUCUCUCUAUUAAUAGGAUUCUAAUAUUUGUCAUUCAGGUACUCUCUCUCUCUAAAUAAUUGAUCUUUCUUCUGCUACAGGGAUUGAAAGUUGUAAUCCCUGGAAGUGAAAUUCCAGAGUGGUUCAGUAAUCAAAGUGUGGGACAUUCAAUAAAUGUGGAGCUUCCUCCACCAUCAUGUACCAACUGGCUUGGGAUUGCCUUAUGUGUUGUUUUUCAAGACCCUAAGCAAAACUUGGCAAAUCCAGCUGCCCUUCGUCAUUAUGAUAGAUUCGAAAUUUGGUAUUCAGAUGCACAUUUUAGCCAUAGAGUUUUGAUCAACCGCAUAGGGUCUGCUGUGUCAGAACACCUUUGGGUAUUUUAUCUGCGUCGUUAUAGAAAUCAACGUCGUGAAGAUUGUCUUCAGGAACAGUGUUUAUUCGAAACUUUUUUUUUUGAUAUCGAGGGACAACUAAAGGCAGACUUGAAUAUGGUGAAGAAGUGUGGGGCUCGUUUGGUGUACGAGCAAGAUUUGAAAGAACUCAACCAAAAACUACUGAAACGAACACGCAAAUAUCGUGACAAGGCAACUCCAAGUGGACCUGGAAGUGUUAGCUUCAACGACACAGAAAAAAUUUGCAAAAGGCGUUGUAACUAGUCACCAUGUCACAAAAAAUGCAAGUAACCAUCGAUUUAUCACAUUAGCUU